rnacentral:rRNA from 1 species
UACGGAGGAGGCAAGCGUUAUCCGGAAUUAUUGGGCGUAAAGCGUCCGUAGGUGGCUCUUCAAGUCUGCUGUCAAAGAGUGGGGCUUAACCCUGCAAAGGCAGUGGAAACUGAAAGGCUAGAGAGCCGUAGGGGUAGAGGGAAUUCCCGGUGUAGCGGUGAAAUGCGUAGAGAUCGGGAGGAACAUCAGUGGCGAAGGCGGCUACCUGGCCCAAUACUGACACUCAGGUGCGACAGCGUGGGGAGCAAACAGG